UACGAAGGGGGCUAGCGUUGUUCGGAAUUACUGGGCGUAAAGCGCAUGUAGGCGGCUAUUCAAGUCGGGGGUGAAAUCCUGAGGCUCAACCUCAGAACUGCCUUCGAUACUGUUUAGCUUGAGUGUGGAAGAGGUUGGUGGAACUGCAAGUGUAGAGGUGAAAUUCGUAGAUAUUUGCAAGAACACCGGUGGCGAAGGCGGCCAACUGGUCCAUUACUGACGCUGAGAUGCGAAAGCGUGGGGAGCAAACAGG
rnacentral:rRNA from 1 species